rnacentral:rRNA from 1 species
CCUACGGGCCGCAGCAGUGGGGAAUAUUGCACAAUGGGCGCAAGCCUGAUGCAGCCAUGCCGCGUGUAUGAAGAAGGCCUUCGGGUUGUAAAGUACUUUCAGCGGGGAGGAAGGCGAUAAGGUUAAUAACCUUGUUGAUUGACGUUACCCGCAGAAGAAGCACCGGCUGACUCCGUGCCAGCAGCCGCGGUAAUACGGAGGGUGCAAGCGUUAAUCGGAAUUACUGGGCGUAAAGCGCACGCAGGCGGUCUGUCAAGUCGGAUGUGAAAUCCCCGGGCUCAACCUGGGAACUGCAUUCGAAACUGGCAGGCUAGAAUCUUGUAGAGGGGGGUAGAAUUCCAGGUGUAGCGGUGAAAUGCGUAGAGAUCUGGAGGAAUACCGGUGGCGAAGGCGGCCCCUGGACAAAGACUGACGCUCAGAUGCGAAAGCGUGGGGAGCAAACAGGAUUAGAUACCCGCGUAGUC